UUUGAUCCUUAGCUAUAGCCUAAUAUUUCAGGAAGUAUAACUCACCCAACUACUCCACCCCCUAGGAUAUAGAAAUACCAGUGCAUGGAGUGUAUGCAGACACCAAGGUCAUAGAGGUUUGGGGUAUCCCUCAAGCUCAUACAGCUAGUAGUCAAGACAGGGUAGAAUCUAGGCUGCUUAAUUCAGGAGACUCUAGUCACUAGACCAGCAUUUCUCAAUCUUGUGGGUCAGAAGAUUGUCAAUGUCUCUAUAUUGACAUUGUGGGUCAGAUAAUUCUUUGUUGUGGGAGCUGCCCUGUGCACUGUAGGAUUUUAGCAGCAUCCCUGGCCUCUAGAUCAUUAGAUGUCAGUAGCACCUUCUACUCCUCCAGUUGUGACAAUCAAAAAUGUCUUCAGGCAUUGCCAAAUGUCCUCUCGGGGUAAAACUCCCUCUGCUUAAAACUCCAUUUGGACCAGAAUGUUUUGACUUCUCUGAAACUUCCUAGUGCCUCUACUCUUUUUUCCCUCUUUCCAUUGCCUACUAGAGGAAAACAUCACAUUUUAAUUUUGGCCUUUAACAGAUUAUGAAGGUGUAUUCCAGCUCACCUUAUGGCAGGGGAUACCACACUCAGGCAAUUCUCAGUUUGAACAUCAAUGGGAAGAUGUUAUGCUCUAUGUUGACCAUGGCCUCAUAAUGGCCAGUAAAGU
rnacentral:lncRNA from 1 species